UACGGAAGGCAGCGGUGGGGAAUAUUGCACAAUGGGCGAAAGCCUGAUGCAGCUAUGCCGCGUGUAUGAAGAAGGCCUUAGGGUUGUAAAGUACUUUCAUCGGGGAGGAAAAACAAAACUAAUAAUUUUAUUUCUUGACGUUACCCGAAAAAGAAGCACCGGCUAACUCCGUGCCAGCAGCCGCGGUAAUACGGAGGGUGCUAGCGUUAAUCAGAAUUACUGGGCGUAAAGAGCACGUAGGUGGUUUUUUUAAGUCAGAUGUGAAAUCCCUGGGCUUAACCUAGGAACUGCAUUUUGAAACUGAAAUACUAGAGUAUCGUAGAGGGAGGUAGAAUUCUAGGUGUAGCGGUGAAAUGCGUAGAUAUCUGGAGGAAUACCUGUGGCGAAAGCGGCCUCCUAAACGAAUACUGACACUGAGGGUGCGAAAGCGUGGGGAGCAAACAGGGAUUAGAUACC
rnacentral:rRNA from 1 species